UCGUACCACGGAGGCGCUUGGGUUGUCGCUGACCUUUCUGAAAGGUCGUGCACGCCCGAGCGCUUUCAAUCCAUUUCACCCUUUGUGCAUCACCGCGCGGGGUCUCUUCCGAGAGGUUCAUGUUUUUCAUACAAACACGUUUAUAGUCAGUUUAGAAUGUCACUUAUUUGCGAUCACAUGCAAUCAAUA
rnacentral:misc_RNA from 1 species